rnacentral:rRNA from 1 species
AGAUUGAACGCUGGCGGAAUGCUUACACAUGCAAGUCGAACGGUAGAGGGGCAACCCUUGAGAGUGGCGAACGGGUGAGUAAUAUAUCGGAACGUGCCCAGUCGUGGGGAUAACGUAGCGAAAGUUACGCUAAUACCGCAUACGAUCUAAGGAUGAAAGCGGGGGAUCGCAAGACCUCGCGCGAUUGGAGCGGCCGAUAUCAGAUUAGGUAGUUGGUGAGGUAAAGGCUCACCAAGCCAACGAUCUGUAGCUGGUCUGAGAGGACGACCAGCCACACUGGAACUGAGACACGGUCCAGACUCCUACGGGAGGCAGCAGUGGGAAUUUUGGACAAUGGACGCAAGUCUGAUCCAGCCAUUCCGCGUGCAGGAUGAAGGCCCUCGGGUUGUAAACUGCUUUGUACGGAACGAAAAGGUUUCUAUUAAUACUAGGAGCUCAUGACGGUACCGUAAGAAUAAGCACCGGCUAACUACGUG